GAGGGCGUGGCGCUCUGGUGACGCAGGCUGGGGCCGUAAGGCCGGCUGAAACGGGCGCUAGUGCAGAUCUUGGUGGUAGUAGCAAAUACUGUAAUGAGACCUUACAGGGCUGAAGCGAAGAAAGGUUCCUUGUGAACAGCACUUGGACAAGGGUUAGUCGAUCCUAAGAGAUAGGGAAACUCUGAGUUUGUAACGCUGCGCGGUUCUGGCGCCGCCGGGCAACCGGCGGCGCCGCGCGCCGCCUAUCGAAAGGGAAUCGGGUUAAUAUUCCCGAACCAGGACGUGGAUAUUGCGCGGCAACGCAACAGAACUCGGAGACGCCGGCAGAAAGCCUGGGAAGAGUUAUCUUUUCUUUUAACAGCCUCUGGCCCUGGAAUCGGAUUACCCGGAGAUAGGGCUGCGCCGGCUGGGAAAGCGGAUCACGUCUCGAUCCGUCCGGUGCCUUCUGACGGUCCGUGAAAAUCCGAGGGACGGACUUAUUCGCACCCCUGGUCGUACUCAUAACCGCAUCAGGUCUUCAAGGUC
rnacentral:rRNA from 1 species